CGGGUGAGUAACACGUGGAUAACCUACCUAUAAGACUGGGAUAACUUCGGGAAACCCGGAGCUAAUACCGGAUAAUAUAUUGAACCGCAUGGUUCAAUAGUGAAAGACGGUUUUGCUGUCACUUAUAGAUGGAUCCGCGCUGCAUUAGCUAGUUGGUAAGGUAACGGCUUACCAAGGCAACGAUGCGUAGCCGACCUGAGAGGGUGAUCGGCCACACUGGAACUGAGACACGGUCCAGACUCCUACGGGAGGCAGCAGCU
rnacentral:rRNA from 1 species